rnacentral:rRNA from 1 species
AUUUGGAAUCGCUUCGGCGAGUUGUGAAUUGCAGGUUGGCGCCUCUGCGGCGGCGGCGGUCCAAGUCCCUUGGAACAGGGCGCCAUUGAGGGUGAGAGCCCCGUGGGACCGUUUGCCUAUGCUCUGAGGCCCUUCUGACGAGUCGAGUUGUUUGGGAAUGCAGCUCUAAGCGGGUGGUAAAUUCCAUCUAAGGCUAAAUACUGGCGAGAGACCGAUAGCGAACAAGUACUGUGAAGGAAAGAUGAAAAGCACUUUGAAAAGAGAGUGAAACAGCACGUGAAAUUGUUGAAAGGGAAGGGUAUUGCGCCCGACAUGGAGCGUGCGCACCGCUGCCCCUCGUGGGCGGCGCUCUGGGCGUGCUCUGGGCCAGCAUCGGUUUUUGCCGCGGGAGAAGGGCGGCGGGCAUGUAGCUCUUCGGAGUGUUAUAGCCUGCCGCCGGCGCCGCGAGCGGG